UCGGCCGCCGCGCUGCUGCACGCGCGGGAGCCGGCGAGUUCCCCGUGUAGGUAAUCCUGCCUAGAUUGAAGCCUGCUGAGGUUGUCCGUCACCCAACAUCUACUCCAUCUAGAUCUGCUGCAACCAUCCUCGUUCAGGGAGGUCGAGCCAACGGUACCAAUGCUUGACGAAGAUGCGUCGGGAGCUUGACUACAGAAGCAGCAAACCAUGGAGAAUUUGGGGCUUCUUCGCCAUGGAGAAGCAAUCCAUGUCUAAUUGUCUGCAUCCAUGUAAAUUGACAACAAGUACUCGUACUGCUCAAAACAUUCAUGUUGUUUUCUCCAGAAAUUUUAUCUGAAAGAAACUAGAAUUAUAUGUUUGGACUUCUUGGAUUCUAUGACUUGUUUUGCCUAAUUCAACACUCUGUUCAGAAUUAUUGCACUUUCUAUUUUGUUCGUGCUUGAGAAAAUUAUUGUAUUACUUACUGAUGUGUCAGGUGCUAAAUCCUACAAUUAAACCACCAUCAGGUUAGUGUUGGGCGGCAUGCACCUAGGUGAUGUUCUACUACUUGUAGACAAAAGAAAAGAAAUAUGGGGCCUAUCCUGUGAUUCCUCUUCAAUUGUACUUCCCUGAUUUUGAUGUAUCGUGAUUUAUAUAGAGUUUAUUUCCGUAUUUCAGGUGUAGUGAAUAUUAUAAACAGCAACAGUUAUGAUGCCGCUAUGGGAUUCUUUGUUGAAGUGAAGUAUCAGGUCUCAUCCGCUUUGUGUAGCCAUUAAUUAAAGAUCUGGUUGAAAGUCUAUCAAAAGCAGAGGUUGAAAGCUUAGCAUGUGAUCCACACAAUGAACACUGCUUUCUGAGUGA